GCUUGGCCGCCGGCGAGGGUUAGGGGAUAGGAGACGAUGCUUCGCCUCCGGCCGAGCACCCACCCGCUCCCACCGGCUGUACCGCCCUGCCCGGCCAAGCCCCCACCUCGUUCGCCGCGGCCGCCGCGAAGUGGAACCUCCGGCCCGGCGCCCGGCGGCGAUGACGAGGAAGCCUGAUGUUGAGCCUGCACCUACACAAAUGGCAGGGUUUGACGCCAUCAUCACCGAGACAAAUGAUGUGGCUCCGUUUGCUGAAGAAAGAGCUUUGUAUUAUGGCUGUUGCUUGCCUCAAGCUGCUGUAGGGGACUGGAACCAUGCCGCUGCCAAGCAGCCGGAGUUCGUCUCACUGACGUUACCCUUGACCUUGUGUGAAGUAUAUUGGUGCUUGGCUGCUGGAAUGAUCAAAAAGAGACAGCGAAAUAGACCAAAGAGUUCAUGUAUCAGAUCCUGAAGCAAGCCAACAAGGAGGAGGUCACCAAAGGUCCAGAUCUACAUCGAUUACAGGUCAGGUAUGGUGGCUGUUCUUUAGAUCUGAUGGGUACCUCAAGUUGUAGAUCGAAGGCAGCUACUUGUCAUCAACAACAAGCCUAGCACACUCUCAGCCACACCCAUGACUCCAUGAUGGUUCAGGAUCUCCAUGGUUAAGCUUCAAUGACAACCUCAACAGCCCCAAGUCAUUAGGUCUGGUCUUUUUGUGAGGAUCCAUGAGAUUAUUCUGAUGGUUUCAGACUCGCAAAUGCACAAGGAGGUCGCCAGCAUGGAUCAAAUCUAAGCCAUUUCGAGGCAGUAAGCACGACAAAGGUUUCUCUUGGAAGGACGAGCUUCUUAAUUUAUGACGACGCCAAGGUCUGGCGAGCGGGAAGUGUCCAUUCUAUUGAUAUUGAGAAGUAUACAACUAGGUGACCACCCAAUAAUUUUCUGAAAGUAAUGGUGGAGAUUGUGAUUCUCCUGGCCAUUAAGAAGAGCGGCAUUGCCUUGGCAAAUGGAGUAGCAAACCAAGCAAGCACGCAGCACAACUAUUAGAGCUACAAGCCAGUAUGAAUCGUCUUGUGAGGGAGCUUAGUGUAAUGCAUGAUGUUCUCUGUCAAAUGGACAUACGGAACCACAACAAUGCAAUAUAUUAGAGCUGGUUGGAGGGGGUGCGAAAGGUAGCACAUGAUAUGGAGGACAAGGUCGAUGAGUACUUGUAUCUAGUUGGUCAGGAGCAUGAUAUUGGGUGUUGCUUUUACCUGAAGAAAGGAUUCCACAAACCAAGAUCUCUUGUUUCUUUGAACCGGAUAGCUUUCAAGGUGAAGCAAAUAGAGAAAGACCUUACACACCUGUCAGAGAAAAAAAACCGCUGGGUUACCCAGAUAAACAACGGGGAUACUAACAACUCGAACUACAUUGUCAGGAGGGCCCAAGAUCAGGCAAACAUGGCACAUUCCCUUGAUGAUGAAGAUCUCGUGGGGGUUGACGAAAACAGAGGAAAACUUGAGAAGUAGUUGGCAGAUGAUGAUUUGGGAUGCUCUGUGAUAGCGCUGCUUGGAAUGGGAGGGCUUGGUAAAACAGCUUUGGCUGCAAAUGUCUACAAGGAGAGGGAGAAAUUCCAAUGCCAUGCCUGGGUUUCUAUCUCCCAAACUUAUUCUAGAGAAGAUGUCUUGAGGAACAUAAUCAAGGAACUUAUGAAAGAUAAAGUCAGUGGUCUAUCUUAUGCUGCAGCUAUGGACAUCACAUGCCUUGAAGAGACACUGAAGAGAUUUCUGGGGCAACAGAAGUAUUUGAUUGUAUUGUAUGAUGUUUGGACUCCAGAAUCAUUUGAUGACUUGUCUAGAGUGCUUACUCAUAAUGAAAAGGGCAGUAGACUGAUAAUUACAACAAGAGAAGCCCGUGUUGCCGCACAUGCCUCUCAAGGGCAUGUCUUAACAAUGGAAGCUUUACUAGCAGAUAAGGCAUGGGAUCUCUUUUGUAAUAAAGCCUUCUCAAGAGAUACAAAUCAUGAAUGUCCGAUGGAGUUGAAGCCUUUGUCUGAGGAAAUAGUUCGCAAGUGCAAAGGCUUGCCUCUUGUCAUUGUGUUAGUUGGUAGCCUCUUGCGUGUGCGUGAGAAAACUGUUGAAGAAUGGAAAAGAAUAAAUGUCCACAUGAGUUGGGAGCUAAUUAAUAAUUCAAGUCUCAGUGACAUAAGGAAUGUUUUGUAUCUGAGCUUCAUAUACCUUCCAACACGCUUGAAAGGUUGUUUCUUAUAUUGCAGCUUAUUUCCGGAAGACUAUCUUUUCAAGAGGAAACAACUUGUGCGGUUAUGCAUCGCCGAGGGGUUGUGAAAGCACACUAGAGGAAGUGGCAGAAGGCUAUCUGAAGGAGUUGAUAGACAGAAACAUGCUACAACUUGCUAAAAGGAACCACUUUGGUAGGAUGAAGGAAUUCAGAAUGCACGAUAUCUUACAUAAGUUGGCAGUUGAUUUGUGCCAGAACUGUUUUGGUGUUACAUAUGAGAAUAAAUGUAGAGGGCCUCAUCAGAAGGAUGGAUGUCGUUGGUACUGCACAAACUAAAAGAUGAUAUGCAACAACCAUUUCCCAAUAUGCACCAACUUCGAACUAUUAUUACACUGGGUGAUAGCAAGUCAUCAUACACUGUACAGCCUGUGUUGUGUAAUGAGUCAAGAUAUAUGAAACUGCUAGAAUUAAGUGGUCUACCCAUAGAGAAGAUUCCAGAUGCUAUUGGAGAUCUUUUUAAUCUCCGCCAUUUGGGUUUGCGUAAUUCAAAAGUGAAGAAGCUCCCGAAGUCUGUUGAGAAGCUGUCAAGUUUGUUGACACUGGACCUUCAUGGAUCUUAUAUACAUGAGUUACCUAGUGGGAUUGUGAAACUAAAGAAACUUAGACACUUAUUUGCUCAGACAGAAAUUGAUUCAACUGGGAGGGAGUUAAAAUGGAGCAGUGGCAUGUGUAUCCCCAAUGGUCUUGGAAAUCUAACAAAGCUGGAGACGCUGCAGGCAUUGGAAGCACAAGAUGAGUCUCUUUAGACAUUUAGGUGAGGUGAGACAAAUGACAAGCUUGAGGUUAUGUAAUGUGAAAGAAAUUUUCUGUGGACGCAUCAGUGAGUCUCUAGUUCAGAUGCAGUAUUUGUCCUUCCUAGAUGUGUAUUGCAAGCAAUGAGAAUGAGGUUCUCCAGUUGAAUGUCUGCCUGCCAAGCCUGUAAAAGCUUUACUUUGAGAGGCCAACUAUCAGAAGGGGCGUUGGACGAGUCUCCUCUCUUCCAAGCUGUUGGGGUGCAGAACUUGUAUGAACUGUCUUUAUAUUGGUCACAGCUGAGAGAAGACCCCCUGCCAUCCCUUUCUUGGUUGUCAAACUUGACAUGUAUAUAUUUCACCAGAGCAUACAAUGGAGAGCAGUUGGAUUUUCUCACGGGGUGGUCUCCCAAGCUAAAGGUUCUCUAUCUAUACGACAUGCCUAAUCUGAAUCGGCUAGAGAUACAACAAGGUGCCAUGGCGAGCUUGAAAAAUUAUUCCUAGUCAGCCUCAAUGGCAGCGACCACCUCAAUGGCGGUGAGGAAGAUGCACUAUCGCAAGGAGGGAAGCAGACGCAGAUUGAGGAGGACGGCCUGGGAGCUUGCCUGGUAGCCAUGCAGCGGGUCUUCUUCACUGACUGCCACUUCGACAACGGUUUUUUGCUCGCCUGCUACGGUGUCUAGAACCACUCCACCCUCUUCAUCGGCCUCCACAUGGGUGCGACCUGCACUGUCACAGGUGAUGGCAUAAUUUUGUUAAUGUCAUUAUGGCAGGACUCAUGUGGUCAUUGGUUACAAUGGUGGCUCAUGAAGUUCAAAAAUCAGGUUUGCCAGCUUGCUGCAGUUAGUGAAGAAGAAGAGAAUUUAAUUAAGUACUGUGCUAUACUACUAUGUUGAAACUUCAGGGGAGGAGUACAACCAGCCAGUCUGAUGUAUGAAUUACAUUGCCGGAGAAAGAUGAAGGCAAUUAGGUUGCCAUCAGCUGUUGAGGAAUCAGAACUUCUCUAACUUACAACAUUUGUGAAUGCAUGCUGGUUUUACAUAGCAUAAUCAGCUAUUUACAUCUCAAAAUAAAGUGGUUGAUUGCUAUUCCAGUUCUUGCACUUUCACUUCUUUCUUGAAAAGUUUCACUUCAGUUACGUCAUGACAAUUUAUAUGAAUUGUUUUCUGUGCAAUUCGCCCGAGUGGCCUUUGAACGUUUGAAAAAUGAUAGAUAAUGACCAAAUUGAUUUAUGUUGUAUGGUCCCAAGUCUUUUGUCAAUUUUUUGCCAGUAAUUUUCUGAAACUCCUUGGAGAGCAUGAGAACGUGACUGUUGCGGAGAUUGUCAUGAAAAUAAGCACCACCAUUUGGGAUAUCGAACUGUUUGUAUCGCAUUACAACACCAGAAUUCAGUAGCAUGGUGACAUUCACAAAGCAAUAUGAAUAUGAGUGUGUACUCGGUUUCUGUAUUUGCUGAUUCAGGUGCUGGCCAUCAAUUAAAGACAAUAGAAUACUUGGCAGCAAAGAGCGAACUGAGUGAAGUAUAUUGGCAAACUGAGUGAAGUUUGUUAAAAACAUCACUGAUAUAUGAGAUGGAGUGAGUAAUUUAAACCAGUGAGUAUAUUUUUUUUUCUGUGUACUGUAGCGCCAAUUUCACUGAGAUGACAUUUCUUUUUUAGAAUCAGUGUUCUUGUGUAAGUGUCGUGGAUGUUCAAUUUCUGUGAAAGAAAGCGGUAGUUUCUCUGAAAUAGUUAAGGUAGCUAGCAAUGCAAGUUGAGUUUGAACAGCUUUCCCGAUAGAAUUAUGAACUGGUGGAUGAUGGUACUAAAAUAUGUAUGCCGGGUAUACCAUGGAGCAUGAACCAAAACGUUAUACCUUACCGAAAGCAUUAUUGCUCCUUGUUUAUUCUUGCCUUGCUCAGUUCUGGGUAGCCUAGAUGCAAGCUCAUCACUUGUUAUACUUAGUAAGGGGCGGUUACCAAUCCACAAGGUCCCUCUGAGAGUUAAAAGUGUUUAUGUGGUUUGUUCAUAAACAAGUUAUUUUAACCAAGGAUAAUUUGACAAAGCGCAAUUGGACCGGCUCUAAGAGAUGUAGCUUUUGUGAUCAAGACGAGAAUAUCAAACACCUCUUCCUCGAUUGUCCUAUGGCGAAGGUUCUUUGGCGGACUGUUCACAUUGCUUUUGAUAUUACUCCACCGAAUAAUAUCAACACGUUAUUUGGGACGUGGCUGGAUAGGAUAGAGGCCCAAACGGCUAAACACAUUCGUGUAGGAGUAUGUGCCUUACUCUGGGCAGUCUGGAACUGUAGGAAUGAUAUGGUUUUUAA